UGUCAGACUUUGAGUUAUAAUCUAACCCAACCACCUCCAUGGCUUCAUCCUCUAGAGUGUUUUGCUUUUUCUUUUUAUUUUUUAUUUUUUUCAUAGUAAAAAAAAAAAACAAAAACCUUGAGUUAAUCUAACCCAACCCAUCGCCGUACUUAGAUUUGGAACCCACUUUGAUGAUCUGGGGGACACGACACUUGAAGAUCGGCUUGUGAAAAACCUGUGGGAUGGUCGAUUUGGUCGCCCUUCUUUCAGUCCAUGACCUCAUGACCGUGAACUGUGGCAUGGUUGAUAAGAUUGGGAUAUUCAAAUAGCUUCUCAUGUAGAACUGAUUCUUCCUGUCAGACAAAAAAAGUUUACAAUGGUGAGCGAAUCAAAAUUUUACAACUUUUAAGAAUGAUUGCGGUGCAUAUAGCACACAAGUAUGGAUGGAAGUAGAACAGUAAUUUCCCAAAAAAUUUCACAAUCGUUUGAGGUGGCAAGUUAUUAAUGGUGUAUAAUAAAAUAGUAUCAAUGGUGGGCCCAUAUAAGACUCAAUAAUAACCUACCAACUUAGUAGUUGUGACAGAGAUCUUCUUCGAACUUAAUGCACAAGUGACAAAUAGAUGGAAUAGCAGAAAAUAGAAUCUUUAUAGCCUGCAUAUUCGUGCCUUAAAACUCAACCAUUUGGCUCCUCAUGGUGUGUCCAUAACAUCCAAGAUUCAAAUCAUUCUCUCCUAUUGUAACUAUUGGAUUAAAAAUGAAAACCUAGCAGUUUUGAAAUUAA